rnacentral:RNase_P_RNA from 1 species
UGAGUAUGAAAGAUGAUCGCGGGUGUCUUUGACAUCUGAGGAAAGUCCGGGCUCCGCAGGGCAGAUAUGCCGGAUAACGUCCGGCGAGGGUGACCUCAGGGAGAGUGCUAUAGAAAUUUAAACCGCCUGCUUGCAGGUAAGGAUGGAAAGGUACGGUAAGAGCGUACCAGCGUAUGGGUGACCAUGCGGCUUUGGUAAACCCCAUAUGGAGCAAGACCGAAUAGGGAAGGGAUGAAGCGGCCCGCUGAACCUUCCGGGUUGUGUCGCUUGAACCGGCAGGCAACUGCCGGUCUAGAUAAAUGAUUAUCACCGCUUAGGCGGAACAGAACUCGGCUUAAUGAUUACUCGUAGC